ACUGUGACACAACUUGCUGCAGACCACCUUAAUAUCUCAAUUCUCAAGGAUGCUCUCCACCUUUCUCAUACCUAACUAUCCUUACCCGAGAUCGGACACAGUUCUUCCUGGAGGCUUCCCGGAGCCGAGCCCAGGACACGCUGCGAUUAGGACUGGUGAGCCCCAGUUCCACUUCUCCCCAGUAGGCUCUGGCCAAAAGCUGGAACCAGAGACAGUACGGCUCGGACAGGCAGCCAUCCACCCCGGCCAGCCGAGCCCAGGGACAACCUCCAGAUGACGGGGAAGGAGAGAGGGAGCAGCACCCUUCAGCGUUCACGUCCACAUCCCGCAGGUCCGGGUGAUCCUUCAGAAGGACUGGCUUACAGCCUGGAGGUAGCCCGUUCCUCUGAGCCAGCAUGGCAUAGCCAGGUCUGAGAUGUUCGGGGAAACAGGGCUGUUCCUCCGGGCGUCCCACAGACACAUGAUGUUUCCACUCAGCUGAGAGGAGAGCGCAGCGGCUGAGUGCACUGCAGAGAGCCCAGGCCGACUGACUGACGCACCCACCCACUCACCACACAAAACUCUCUCUGAAGGCACCUGCCCACUCUCAGCCCGCUACGCCAAACCAACACCAGCCAACCACGCCAGUCGUCUUCAUCAUUCAUCCAGCCUGCUCUCCACCAUUGCUCACCACCCUCUGCUCUUCUCCAUCUCCAAGCCCCACUCCAUAUAUGUUGACUGUAUGCAGAUGCCAACAACUGUCAUAAACCCAAAGAUUACAUGUUCAAUUCCCAAAAUUCUGUGUCCCAUAAUGGUUAAAAUCACCUUGAUCUUGACAGUGAAACCCUACGUCCCCACUCAGGACAAUCUGAGGACAAUUUGCAAUUAGGAGCCCAAGUGAACAUGUUAAUCUGAACUCCACCACAUGCAUCCACCGCUUCUCCCUUCAAACUCGCCUUGCACUUGCAGUAUUACGUAAGAAGCCAGCCAUGCCACAAGGGAAUACCUCCCCAAUCCUUGAGGUAAACAAGCCUCCACAGAGGCUUGGCAACUGCCUUUUAUUUUAGUAGCAGUGAGACGGCUGGGAGCAGGAUGGACCCUGAAACCUUUUAGCAAAUCUCUCUAGUAGAGACCAAAGCCAAAACACCAAUUUAAUUUUUAAUCACAUUUUCAUCUCCGGCCUCUCUAGAGCUUCUGUGCUGCUCCAGCCGCAACAUCAGGACUCUGUGCUGUAAUAUGGGGUAGUACAAAAUGUGUAUAAUGUUGCUUAAGCACAAUUCAUACGUCUUUAGUCUCUAUGGUGAGUUAUUAGUUGGACACACUGUCCCUUAAACGUACGUUUACUUGUUCACUUCCAACAACAGCUAAUGCGCGUUCGUCAACAGCCGGUGUGGUUUGUAAAGCCGCUCUGGAUGAGAGCUUCUGUUAAAUGGUUAAAACGUAAAUACCAGUCUAUUUUGAUUCAGAGGGAAUAUUUGCCAUCCGAGACAGUGGCGACCGUGAAGACAACAUCAGGAACCCAGGCGUGGAAUGUUCCCUCUCAGCUUUUUGUUAUGAGCAUCUUGUUACCACAUUCGCUCGGCUCAAUAUAGCAUGUGGCAUUCUGUAUGGAAAAGGCGGCAGGAAUAGAGUUCGCCAAACAGUUGAGGCACUUGACUUGUAGUCUCACAAGAAUGGUUACAUGAGACCUGUACACACUGUACUGCAUAUAAGUGAAUGUGUAAGAAUAAAGUAUAGAAUAUG